CCCUUAGAUGUUCUGGGCCGCACGCGCGCUACACUGAUGAAUUCAACGAGCACUAACCUGUGCCGAAAGGUUCGGGUAAUCUUGUGAAAUUUCAUCGUGAUGGGGAUUGAUUAUUGCAAUUUUUAAUCAUAAACGAGGAAUGCCUAGUAAGCGUGAGUCAUCAGCUCACGUUGAUUACGUCCCUGCUCUUUGUACACACCGCCCGUCGCUCCUACCGAUUGGGUGUGCUGGUGAAAUGUUCGGAUCGGCCGUUUGUCGCGGUUUCCGCGUCAUGUGGCUGAGAAGUUCAUUAAACCCUCCCACCUAGAGGAAGGAGAAGUCGUAACA
rnacentral:rRNA from 1 species